rnacentral:rRNA from 1 species
CCCUUAGAUGUUCUGGGCCGCACGCGUGCUACACUGAUGCAUUCAACGAGUCUAAAACCUGGUCUGAUAGGGCUGGGUAAUCUUCAGCAAAGUCGAACGUGAUGGGGAUCGAUCAUUGCAAUUAUUGAUCGUGAACGAGGAAUUCCUAGUAAGUGCAAGUCAUCAGCUUGCGCUGAUUACGUCCCUGCCCUUUGUACACACCGCCCGUCGCUACUACCGAUUGAAUGGUUUAGUGAGAUCUCUGGAUUGACGCUGGCUAGGGGGCGACCCUUGGCCAGACUGUUGAGAAACUGCUCAAACUUGAUCAUUUAGAGGAAGUAAAAGUCGUAACA